AUUAAACGCUGGCGGCAUGCCUUACACAUGCAAGUCGAACGGCAGCACGGGGGCGAACCCUCGGUGGCGAGUGGCGAACGGGUGAGUAAAGCAUCGGAACGUGCCCUGGAGUGGGGGAGUAACGUAGCGAAAGUUACGCUAAUACCGCAUAUUCUGUGAGCAGGAAAGCAGGGGAUCGCAAGACCUUGCGCUCUGGGGGCGGCCGAUGUCGGAUUAGCUAGUUGGUGGGGUAAAGGCCUACCAAGGCGACGAUCCGUAGCGGGUCUGAGAGGAUGAUCCGCCACACUGGGACUGAGACACGGCCCAGACUCCUACGGGAGGCAGCAGUGGGGAAUUUUGGACAAUGGGCGAAAGCCUGAUCCAGCCAUGCCGCGUGAGUGAAGAAGGCCUUCGGUUGUAAA
rnacentral:rRNA from 1 species